GACAAAUGCAAUCAGACAUCAUUAGCAAGCCACAGAAUGGGAGCUUAUAGGUCAACACCACCAUGAAGGUGUUUGGCCAUGUGCGUUCCCUGCUGAAAGGGACGGGCAGGAGAGUGGGCAGUGAUUUCCUUCUGUAGUGAACAGAAAGGACAAAUGCAAUCAGACAUCAUUAGCAAGCCACAGAAUGGGACCUUAUAGGUCAACACCAGUGCUGUAAAGUGAGGGUAAAACUGCCCCUCGAGUUGCGUUUCUGUUCAUAAGCAGUUUCAGGAAGGGGCUUUAAGUGAAUAGCAAAGAGGAUGUGAAUGAUCAGAGGCAUAAGUGUAACUUGAAGGACCAUUGACAAUAUUGGAACCAUUUCAAUGUACAGUCUCAAGAAAGAGGCUUUCUAUUAAUGAGCCCCUUUGCUUUGAUGCCUACA